GCAGCGCUUGAGAUCCUCUCCGCGCCCGCCACCCCGCAGGGUGCCCCGCGCCGUUCCCGCCGCCCCCGUUGCGGGCCCCUGCACCCCGAGCAUCCGCCCCGGGUGGCACGUCCCCGAGGCCACCAGGCCGGCCCCGUCUCCCCAUCCGUCUAGUCCGCUCGCGGUGCCAUGCCAUUCCUCGGGCAGGACUGGCGGUCCCCCGGGCAGAACUGGGUGAAGACGGCCGACGGCUGGAAGCGCUUCCUGGAUGAGAAGAGCGGCAGUUUCGUGAGCGACCUCAGCAGUUACUGCAACAAGGAGGUAUACAAUAAGGAGAAUCUUUUCAACAGCCUGAACUAUGAUGUUGCAGCCAAGAAGAGAAAGAAGGACAUGCUGAAUAGCAAAACCAAAACUCAGUAUUUCCACCAAGAAAAAUGGAUCUAUGUUCACAAAGGAAGUACUAAAGAGCGCCAUGGAUAUUGCACCCUGGGGGAAGCUUUCAACAGACUGGACUUCUCAACUGCCAUUCUGGAUUCCAGAAGAUUUAACUACGUGGUCCGGGCCCUGCCACUAGCCAGUGAGGGAAAUAGAUGAAAUAGAUCUGACUCUACCUUGAAGGUCUGCAGCAGGGGUCAGCAAACUUCUAGCCCUUAGGUCAAUAGCCUACCGCCUGUUUUUGUAUGGCCCAUGAGCUAAGAAUGAUUUGUACGUUUUUCAAUGUUUUAAAAAAUUGAAAGGAGUAUAAUGUUUCAUAACACAUGGAAAUUAUGUGCAGCUCAAAUUUCAGUAUCCAUAAAUAAAGUUUUAUUGGAACACAGCU
rnacentral:sRNA from 1 species